CAGUCGCCGCGGGAAUACGAAGGGUGCAAGCGUUAAUCGGAAUUACUGGGCGUAAAGCGUGCGUAGGCGGUGAGUUAAGUCUGCUGUGAAAUCCCCGGGCUCAACCUGGGAAUGGCAGUGGAUACUGGCUCGCUAGAGUGUGUCAGAGGAUGGUGGAAUUCCCGGUGUAGCGGUGAAAUGCGUAGAGAUCGGGAGGAACAUCAGUGGCGAAGGCGGCCAUCUGGGACAACACUGACGCUGAGGCACGAAAGCGUGGGGAGCAAACAGGAUCAGAUACCCGGGUAGUCCCUGUCUCUUAUAA
rnacentral:rRNA from 1 species